GUAAAAAUUAUUUUUAUAAUAAAUCUUA
rnacentral:tRNA from 1 species